CUGAAGACCAGCAGAGACUAGGAUGGAUGACGGCCUGUCCAGGGGCUGAAUGGACACAGGUGUCAGCAGGGCCACCUGGUAAAGGUAUGGAGGUGAGCCAGCCAUGAGAGGGUAUCUUGUGGCCAUAUUCCUGAGUGCUGUCUUCCUCUAUUAUGUACUGCAUUGCAUAUUAUGGGGAACGAAUGUCUAUUGGGUGGCACCUGUGGAAAUGAAACGGAGAAAUAAGAUCCAGCCUUGUUUAUCAAAGCCAGCUUUUGCCUCUCUGCUGAGUCAGAGCUCUGCAUAUAUUUUAAGAAAAGGCAUUGAGGAACUCAAUCAAACCAGUAUUCUUUUCACACAGGUUUCAUCAGUUUCACCCUUUUCUGUGUGCGGCUGAUUUUAGAAAGAUUGCUUCCUUGUAUGGUAGCGAUAAGUUUGAUUUGCCCUAUGGGAUGAGAACAUCAGCGGAAUAUUUUCGACUUGCUCUUUCAAAACUGCAGAGUUGUGAUCUCUUUGAUGAGUUUGACAAACUCCCAGAAAAAAGAAAUAAAAAAAAUGCAAAGAAAAUUUAAAUGAACAAACAGACCCUUCUGGAACCUACUGUGACAUGAGAUGUGUCCACAAGGCGAGGUUUCAGGCACACACUGAAGGAGCAUCUGCUGGACAGCCCUCCCCGCCCCCAAGUCCUUACCAACCUGUGCCACUG
rnacentral:lncRNA from 1 species